AUGUUGAUAAUUUAUUGAUGUUAGGAAAAAAUAAUACAGAAGAAAACCAGAGAGACGAAAAGGGGAUUCUGCCAAUGAAAGCCUACACCACAAUCAGCUACUAAUAAACAAAAAAUCAUAAAGGAAAUGCAACCUUAUCAUUUCUUCUUUCCAUCUAUGUUUGAGAUCUAUUCAUAUGUUGAGGCUUGAGAGGUUUCUUCCCUAUUUGAUUACUGCAGAAUCCAAAUGUGAGACCAGACCCAAACUUCACAGCAGCAUUUAGCCCCAUCUGAGUAUUGCAGAGCCCCACGUAAGGCCAGCACCAAAUCCAGCAGCAGCAUUUAGCCCCAUCUGAGUAUUGCAGAGCCCCACGUAAGGCCAGCACCAAAUCCAGCAGCAGCAAUGACAUGACCUGCCUGCACUUUCCCACUUCGAACAGCUUCAUCCAGUGCCAAGGGUAUCGAUGCAGCACUCGUAUUGCCAUAAUUUGCCAAAUUUGAUAUGACAUGUUCUGGUGGCACCUCCAAACGUGUUGCUACUGCAUCAAGAAUCCUUUGAUUUGCCUGGUGGAGGAGCAGCCAAUCGAUUUUGGACCUAGGAAGACCUGCAUUCUCUAAAGCUGCUUCUAUUGAUUGUGGCACAACACGAACAGCAAAUCUAAAGACCUCUUUACCAUUCAUCUGAAUGCAAGAGUAAGAGGAAUUUGAUGGUGGAAAUCCAAUAACAGAACCAUUUGUACCAAACGCAUGAUCUGUUUCAUUAUCUUUGAUUAAAGCAUUCAAGUGCCUUUGACCUCCACCAUCACUAUGCAAGUCAAAACCAAAUAAACCAUCUUCUCCAAUAUCACAGGCCUGCACCACUACAGCACCAGCAGCAUCACCAAAGAGAAUACAGGUCCCUCUAUCUGUCCAGUCAACAUAGCGAGAUAGAGCAUCAGCCCCUAUAACAAGAACAUUUUUAAAGCCACCACCUCUGAUAUAGCAAGCAGCAGACACCAAACCCAACAUGAACCCGCUACAAGCAGCUGUAAUGUCGAAAGACAAUGGAUUGCUUUUGCAGCCAAGCGCUCUUUGAACCUGUGGAGCACUACCAAAAAGGUCCUCGGGAGUUGAACUGCAUAGCAAAAUUAGGUCAACAUCAUCAGGAUCAACCUCUGCCAUCUCAAGAGCUUUCCUUGCAGCCUCAGCAGCCAGAUCUGUUAAGCUGUCUUUGCCUGAAAGAACUCUACGGUUACGAAUUCCUGUCCGAACAGAUAUCCACUGAUCAUUCGUAUCAACAAUUUUUGCAAGAUCA
rnacentral:misc_RNA from 1 species